AUGACAUCGACAUCUUGAACGCACAUUGCGGCUCCGGGUCACUCCCGAAGCCACGCCUGUCCGAGGGUCGGCAAACAGUCAUCGCCACAGCUAGCGAGACGAUGUUCCGGCGUCGUGCCUCCUCCCGGUUCGUGGGAGUGGUGGACGCGGAACGACGGCUCCGUGGCGCAUUCUGCGCGUCGGCGAACGGCGGGGGCCAAAACCCCGCCACGCCGUCCGCGGAAAGAUUCGACCAGUGGUCACCGGUCGGUCUCCCUCACGCAAGGGAUCCCCCCCCAGCGGCUCGUGCUCGGGGGGCUUCUCUGCACCGCUCCGGGAACGCUGCCUCUCAAGGGGUUCCCCGUGGGAGUUGACGUUGCGCGGUUCGUUCGCUCGCACUCCACGGGAAGACGAGAGGUGGCCGCCCGGAUGAUCGGCGAGGGGUGCUACUGACCGGCGAAAACCUACUUUCGCUCUCCGACCUCGGAUCAAACGAGACUACCCGCUGAACUUAAGCAUAUCAGUAAGCGGAGGAAAAGAAACUAACAAGGAUUCCCCUAGUAACGGCGAGUGAAGCGGAAAGGAGCCCACAA
rnacentral:rRNA from 1 species